AACGCGAAGAACCUUACCUACUCUUGACAUCCUGCGAAUCUGGCUGAGAGGCUGGAGUGCCGAAAGGAGCGCAGAGACAGGUGCUGCAUGGCUGUCGUCAGCUCGUGUUGUGAGAUGUUGGGUUAAGUCCCGUAACGAGCGCAACCCUUGCCCUUAGUUGCUAACAAGUUAAGUUGAGCACUCUAAGGGGACUGCUGGUGAUGAACCGGAGGAAGGCGGGGACGACGUCAAGUCAUCAUGGCCUUUAUGAGUAGGGCUACACACGUGCUACAAUGGGGCGUACAGAGGGUAGCGAACCCGCGAGGGGGAGCCAAUCUCUUAAAGCGUCUCGUAGUCCAGAUUGGAGUCUGCAACUCGACUCCAUGAAGUUGGAAUCGCUAGUAAUCGCGGAUCAGCAUUGCCGCGGUGAAUACGUUCCCGGGCCUUGUACACACCGAUAGC
rnacentral:rRNA from 1 species